UACGAAGGGGGCUAGCGUUGCUCGGAAUCACUGGGCGUAAAGGGCGCGUAGGCGGACAUUUAAGUCAGGGGUGGAAUCCCGGGGCUCAACCUCGGAAUUGCCUUUGAUACUGGGUGUCUUGAGACCGGAAGAGGUAAGUGGAACUGCGAGUGUAGAGGUGAAAUUCGUAGAUAUUCGCAAGAACACCAGUGGCGAAGGCGGCUUACUGGUCCGGUUCUGACGCUGAGGCGCGAAAGCGUGGGGAGCAAACAGG
rnacentral:rRNA from 1 species